rnacentral:rRNA from 1 species
GACGAACGCUGGCGGCGUGCUUAACACAUGCAAGUCGAACGGAAAGGCCCUGCUUGCAGGGUACUCGAGUGGCGAACGGGUGAGUAACACGUGGGUGAUCUGCCCUGCACUUCGGGAUAAGCCUGGGAAACUGGGUCUAAUACCGGAUAGGAGCCAUUUUUAGUGUGAUGGUUGGAAAGUUUUUUCGGUGUAGGAUGAGCUCGCGGCCUAUCAGCUUGUUGGUGGGGUAAUGGCCUACCAAGGCGGCGACGGGUAGCCGGCCUGAGAGGGUGGACGGCCACAUUGGGACUGAGAGACGGCCCAGACUCCUACGGGAGGCAGCAGUGGGGAAGAUUGCACAAUGGGCGCAAGCCUGAUGCAGCGACGCCGCGUGGGGGAUGACGGCCUUCGGGUUGUAAACUCCGUUCGCUAGGGACGAAGCUUUUUGUGACGGUACCUAGAUAAGAAGCACCGGCUAACUACGUG